CUUUGUGAGUCUGGAGAAGUCACCAGUCUUUUUCCUUCCUUCCUCCUUCCUUCCUUCCUUCCUUCCUUCCUUCCUUCCUCCUUCCUUCCUUCCUUCCUCCUUCCUUCCUUCCUCCUUCCUUCCUUCCUUCCUUCCUUCUUCCUUCCUUCCUCCUUCCUUCCUUCCUCCUUCCUUCCUUCCUCCUUCCUUCCUUCCUUCCUCCUUCCUUCCUUCCUUCCUUCUUCCUUCCUUCCUUCCUCCUUCCUUCCUUCUUCCUUCCUUCCUCCUUCCUUCCUUCCUCCUUCCUUCCUUCUUCCUUCCUUCCUUCCUCCUUCCUUCCUUCCUUCCUCCUUCCUUCCUUCCUCCUUCCUUCCUUCUUCCUUCCUUCCUUCCUUCCUUCCUUCUUCCUUCCUUCCUUCCUUCCUUCCUUCCUCCUUCCUUCCUUCCUCCUUCCUUCCUUCCUCCUUCCUUCCUUCCUCCUUCCUUCCUUCCUCCUUCCUUCCUUCCUCCUUCCUUCCUUCCUCCUUCCUUCCUUCCUCCUUCCUUCCUUCCUCCUUCCUUCCUUCCUUCCUUCCUCCUUCCUUCCUUCUUCCUUCCUUCCUCCUUCCUUCCUUCCUUCCUUCCUUCCUUCCUUCCCUCCUUCCUCUCUCUCUUCCCUCCUUCCUUCCUUCCUUCCUUCCUCCUUCCUUCCUUCCUCCUUCCUUCCUUCCCUCCUUCCUUCCUUCCCUCCUUCCUCUCUCUCUUCCCUCCUUCCUUCCUUCCUCCUUCCCUCCCUCCCUCCCUCCCUCCUUCUUUCUUCCUUCCUUCCUUCCUUCCUUCCUUCCUUCCUUCUCACUCUCUCUCUCUUUGGGGGGGAGACAGAAGGAAUACUUAGUCACGCGUCAUAUGGAAAGCUUACCAUUUUUACUGCAUUUCAAUCCAUCCCAGACAGUGGGCCCCGCUUACCGCCGUGGUUGUAAUUUUAAACCCACACACUUUUCACACCCACUAGAGAAGAGAAGUAGUGUCUCUAAAGCUUUACGCUAA
rnacentral:lncRNA from 1 species